rnacentral:rRNA from 1 species
CCUACGGGAGGCAGCAGUGGGGAAUUUUGGACAAUGGGCGAAAGCCUGAUCCAGCCAUGCCGCGUGCGGGAAGAAGGCCUUCGGGUUGUAAACCGCUUUUGGCAGGAACGAAACGGCGCUGACUAACACUCGGCGUUAAUGACGGUACCUGCAGAAUAAGCACCGGCUAACUACGUGCCAGCAGCCGCGGUAAU